UUCAGAUCGUAUAAAUCUUUCGCC
rnacentral:piRNA from 4 species